CCUUUUUUAUUUUCUUCUUUUUUUUCAUUUCCUUUUUUACAUAGAACAGAUAAGAAAACUUAGGUGAUCACAGUUGAUCAAAAGGUGCAUCAGUUAGAAGCCCAUUCAAAGUAAUGGCAGCGAGCACCUCUAGUUGCAGUCCAAUUUCCACAUCCAAAGAAAAGGCUCCCUUGCUUGGGACCUGGCUUCCUCACCAUGCCCCUGCUGCUUUUCACCCCACAGUAGCAACAGGGGUUAUACUGAGCCAUGAGGGCGGUGACAUCCUUUGCUGUGUAGGGGCAAUGGGGGAAAAUGAUUGGUUGUUCUGGAGACUGUUUCAAACCCCCUGCCAUAUCAGAAGGUCCCUGCCAAUUUAUGUUAUUGGUAAUGGAAAAUUUAAAACCCCGGUGCAUGAGCAAUGCCAACAGGCGAGCAGUAUUUUUGGCAUCAUCAAGGCCACAAUGUUGACGGCCCUGCCAGACCAGGCCCGCUAUCUCAACAGCUUCCUUUAGAUUGCACCUCACAGCACCAAAUACCUCACGGAAAGGAACCCUUAAGUUGAUCCAGCUAACAAGCAGAUAAACAAAAGUCAGAUGAAAUGAAAUUCUGGUAAACACGACAUUUCUAUGCUUCAGCAUUUACCGGUUAAAGUAAGGAGGCUUCCGUAUUUUUUUAAAUCGGCACUCAGAUUCAAGCAUCACCCUACAAUCCCAGUUAGACCAUGUAACCACAGCAAAGUUGGAAUUCUUUAUUCCCUUCUUCUCAAGCCAUUUGUCAUGCCUAAGUAGAGCCUCACUCAAUGUAACACCUCUGUCCACCUGAACCAAAUGGUAAUAAAUCCAAUUAGCAAUCAUUUGCAGCAAUAUUGAAUGGGUGAAUGCAAGAGUUGAGGAGUAACAGAAGUAUUACAAGGUAUAAAAAGUUUAUAAAGCAAUGGAAUAUACCAUUCCAGUCAGUUUGGGACGCAACUUUUGUGUCUAGAAAGGUAACUUUAGGAUAUAAAAAUCUAGUGGGCUCAUCCCACAUAGAGCUGGGUCAACCUUAAAAUGGAUAUUACUUAUUGUCCAAAAGACAGAAUAGACAAGCACAAAUGCACACAGAUUAUGCUAAAUAUGAACAGAUGCAAAAUUGUGUGAGAAGCCAUAAAAGCAUUGCACAUCCAUACUCAAAGAAAACCUAGUGAAUAAAAGGGAGGGGAUCAGGAGCAUCAAAUAAAGACAUCCUUGAUAAUUUUUUCCAGCAUCCUUGUUCUUUUAAAUCAUAAUUGCAAAGCACAUCAUAAUUUAGUUCUAUACUGCAUAGCAUAGAUCGUCCCUACCAUAGAGGAAUUCAAAUUGUUAAUACUAUAUGUUAUGUUUAAGCACAUGUACAAUGAACGCAAUUUGCUAUUAUUAACUCUUAGAUAAUCGGAGCUGGUUAGCUCUCAUUAGGAAAUGACUCCUCUCGUAACUUACACAAUACAUAGAAUAAUUACUUUAGAAUAAAAUAAGCAGGUGAACAAAGAGUAACAUUACUAAGCCACUAACUCACAUGUAAUUCCUAAUCAGUGAUGAUUACCUCUAAUCUAAAUAAUGAUGCCUAUUGCAAUUAAUACUGCACGUACUAUAAAUAGUUCCCUGCAUUAAAUGAUUGGAGACACAGUUUUACCUCAAACCUUCUCAUUCUAACCCACUAUGCAGUGUUUUCUAAAUGUCAUAUAUCGAUAAUGGUGGUAACAUGGUGCUAUGGCAUAGUGGAGUUGAGCAAUGUGCCAUUUUAUGUCAAUGGCGUUGCAGGUUUAGGAUAUUUUCCAGUGAUGAGCAUUUUUGCAAAUGUUUAUACCAGAUCAAGUGGCACUUAAAUAUUGUCUUUAAAAGAACCUGAAGAAUUCUGAUUGCUUGGUGACCAUUUGAUGUACUUGAGAAAGAUACCCAAGAUUAUUAUAAUGGAUUUUGGAGAGUAGAUUCCACUCUCUUAGAAUUUCAUAUUUAUAAUAACUUGGGAUAAGUCAAGAUAAAUAAAAGAGACUAUAUUUAAGAGUAAUUGAGAGAGUUUGUAUUCCCCUCUCUUAGGUUUUCAUAUUUAUAGUAGUUUGAGCAACAUAUACAAUGAAUGAGAGAGAAAAGGAGUUCUAGAAGAUGCUCCUAGAAACUAGGUCUAGCACAAAGCAUGCUGCUAGGAACUAGGUCCAGCACACAACACCUAACAAUAAAUCCUAUGAAAUAUUAUUUAUUCUAACACUCCCCCUCCAACUGGAACGAACUAGGUCCAGCACACAACACCUAAAAAUAAAUCCUAUGAAAGAUUAUUCAUUCUAACACUCUCCCUCCAACUGGAACUGGAACAUACAAAUUGUAUGUGUCAAGAAAUGGAUUUUGAGUCUAACUCAAAUCCACAAAACCAACUUUUAAAGUGAGACUUGCAUCCACUUAUUAUAUUCUGUGAAAUUAUCUUAUCUUUAGUCAAUGUGGGACUAUUAACACACCUCCUCACACUAUCGUAUAUACAUCUCAAGCAUGGAACUGUACAUUAUUGGGUAGUCUGAUAGCGACUUGAUAGCAGGUAGAACAAUAAACCCAACAAAUAACAAAUUUUGCUAAAAUAGGCUUUAACAAGUCUGAUAUCAUGUUAAGAAGUGAAUUUUAAACCUGACUCAACCUUACAAGCCAGUUUUGUGGGGUUGAGUUAGGCAUAAAAUCCACUUCUUAACAUGGUAUCAGAGUGAAGUUAGAGCCUAUCCUAGCGAGAUUUGUUUGUUGGGCACAUUGUUCCACCCACUAUCGGGUCGUUAUUGGACCACCCAUUGAUGUCCAGUCUCAUGCUCGAGAUGUAUAUAUCUCGGCGUGAGAGGAGUGUGUUAGAAGUCUCGCAUCAAUUAGAGAUAAAACCAAUUUAUAGUAUAUAAGUGGGUGUAAACCUCAUCUUACAAGCCGGUUUUGUGGGGUUGAGUUAGACUUAAAGUCUACUUCUUAACAUGGACAAAAAGUAUCACUAUAUCUAAACCAUAGAUUUGAGUAUAUCCUUUUGCUACCAAUCGGGCUUUAAAGCGAUUAGUUUCACCAUUAGGACCAACCUUUAUGGAAUAGACCCAACGACAACCAACUGUCUUCUUUCCAGAUGGAAGAGGAACCGAUUCCCAUGUACCAUUUUGUUCAAGGGCAUGCAUUUCAACAAUCAUGACUUGUCACCUUCCAGGAUGAUCAAGUGCUUCUUUCACACUUUUAGAAAUGUUAAUAGAAGAGACCGAGGAGAUAAUAGAAUAAUAUGAAGAGACAAACAAUGAUAAGUUAGAAAAUUAUAAAUAGGAUAAAGGUUGCAAGUAGAGCAAGUACCUUUGCAAAUUUCAAUAGGCCAACAAGAACCCUCAUUAUCAAGAGUCAUAAUGUGGGACUUGAUGAAGAGGACUCACAUGUGGUAUUUUUUACUAGACAUUUGAGUCAAAAGUGAUGGUCUAAGAGAACUACAUUGAUGAGAGGAAUUUGGAGUACUGGACUAGUGUUUGGCAUUGUAUAGACAGAGGGUUCAACAAAAGGCAUAGGCAAGACCUGCUGCACAGAGUUUACAUCUUGUGUAGAGGAAGGGAAGAACAAAGUUUCUUUAAAAUAGGUGACCCUUGCAGACAUGUAAUAUUUUUUAGUGUUAGGAGAAUAACAUUGAUAUCCUUAUAUCUUAAAGAGACACAUUUAAUGGCCCAAGCAAAGAGUUUGUCCAAAUCUGAAGACAUAAUGAACAAAUACACACACAGCCAAAUACUCAAGGAGAAAUAGAGAAAAGAGGUUCAUUUAGAAACACAAAGGAAUAUGGAACUUUAUUGUUCAGAGAAGUAGACGCCAUUCUACUAAUAAGAUAAUAAACAGUAAGAAUGGCAUCACCCUAAUGAUGGGCAAGUACAUUGGCACCAAUCAAUAAUGUACAGCCAUUUCAUCUGUGUUUGUUCUUUCUUUUUACUGUUGGGAUGUAUGUAGACAGGUGGAUUGAUGUAAAAUACCAUGUGACUUUAAAAGAGUAGAAAAACUAGAAGAAAAAAAUUCUUUGGCAUUAUCACCUCUUAAGAUCUUGAUUACUUGGCCAAAUUGGUUUUUAAUUUCAGUAAUUAAAAUCUCAAAAAAUUUCAAUAGCUUAGACCUAUCUUUCAUGAAGUAAACCCAAGUACAACCUAUAAAGCUCCGACAUGGCCUUUGAGUUGUGUUUCCCAUAAGAAGCGUUGUGGAUAUGGACACCUGUCAAGUGCGUUCACAACACGGUGUCAAGCACACUUAUUUGGGCCAGAUACGCGCUUAUUUCCAGACAUACUUAGAAGACAUUGUCCACGUCUUAGAAGCACUAGAGAAGCGCCAGAUUUGACACCAUGAACACAAGUAGAGUUGCAGGUCACAAAGGAAAUAAGGAACAGGAAGGGGUGUGAAGGAAGAAGAGUAUGGAAAAAAGCAAACUUUUCUUUCUAAAUAAUUCAAUAAUUGUUACAUUAUUUUAUAUGCUGAAUUUUGACUUUACAAACCCAACCCAAUGCUUUUCACUAAUCACGAUUCUACACUUUAUAAAUGUUUCCUAUUUCUUCUUCCAUCAUAUACUCUGAUCAACUACAAAAUGAAAUUAUUUUUUUUAUUAAUAUAAUUAUUUAAAUAUCAAUUAAUAUCUUAUUUAUAUUUAUAUAUUAUUUAAAUUUUUUUUAUUCAUAUAGUUUUUUAAAUAUUAAUUAAUAUAUAAUUUGGAGCAAACUCACUUUUGAAGCAAACUCACUUUUGGAGCAAAUGGAGCAAACUCGGUAGACUAGUCAUGAACUCGAUUGAACUCGCGAGUAUCCAACCGAGUUGGCAAGUCAAGAGGGUUUCUCCUUUAAAUCCAAAACGACCUUGUUUCUACUUGCAUUAGGAUUCGUGUUCAUGNUCUUUGUGGUCAUAGAAGAGUAACAUUGAUACCUUUUUUAGGUAAAGAGUAACCCAAGAAGACUCUUGAUAGCGCGGGCAGAAUGUUUAUCUAACCUUGGAGACAAAUCAUGAACUAAACAUAUACAACCAAACAUACAAGGAGGAACAUGAAAGAACAUAUCAUUUGGAAAAAAAAUGGAAAAAGGAACCUUAUUACCAAGAGAAGAGGAUGACGUCCUAUUAAUAAGAAAACAUCUGGUAAGUACAACAUCCCCCAAUGAUGGACCAUAAUACUAGCAACAAGCAUUAAGGUGUGAACAAUCUCAUACAAAUGUCUAUUUUUCCUUUCUACAAUACCAUAUUAUUGUGGUGUAUAAGGACAAGUAGACUGAUAUAAUAUGCCACAUGAACCUAACACUUUAAAAAAAUUAAAGGAGACAUACUCUUUGGCAUUAUCCCUUCUUAAAAUUUUAAUUGUUUGCCCAAAUUGAUUCUUGAUUUCAUUCAAAAAGGAUGUACAGAUGGGCAAUAAUUUAGAACAAUCUUUCAUAAGAUAAACCUAAGUACAUCUGAAAUAUUCAUCAAUGAAUGUUAAAAAAUAUUUUAAACCAAAGGAUGAGACACAACUAGGUCCCUAAAAAUCAAAAUGAAUAAUAGAAAGUCAAACUUUCCAUUGAUGGGACUUCAUGACAUGUUAAUAGAUGAUCUCUAAUAUGAUCAAAGUUUGGAUGUAGAGCGCAAAGGAUCAUCACCAUUUGUCAAGUUUGUUCUUGAUCUCAUCCAAAGACUCCACCUCCAAGAACAUCUUUAGUUCUUCAACUACAUAUUGGGCUUCAUUCAUGAAGGAUACCAUAUCAUGAUUAGUCUCUUUAAGAGACGCAAGCCUAUUGGCAAAGUCAUAAAGAAGUUGAACAUCAUUCACAAAAAUGUUUUGAGCUUUCUUCCAAAAUGAGUUGCAACUUUUAAAAGCUCUAAGUGUUCCCAAUAGUCUUGGUUCAAUCAAUUGCUAGCGCACACAGCUGGAAAUCAACUUGCUUCCACUGCUCAUCUUUCUCAUGAGACACAUUGCUUCCAUCAUAUUCAAGGUUUUCAUGAUAACCUUAGCCAAGAACCACAUUUCAACAAAUGCAGACCAAGAGAGGUAAUUUUUUCCUUUUAGUUUCUCGAAAGUAAUGGAAAGACUUCCCAAGAAUGAGACAACAACUCUAAUAGACAUUUCCUUUGACAGAGAAGAGGAAAACAACUAGGGCAGAGAAAACCCUAGGAUGACCAUCGCUAGGAUGACUUUUGGACUUCGUCGAAAUGAAGUUUAAAUGGUUAAAACAGAGAAAGGAAGCUUCCAUGAUACCUAUAAUGGUGGCGCGAUGAAGUUCAGACGAGGAGAAGGCAACACAUGGAAAUGAGUGGAACGGGGUUGACUGUCACUCAAAGAGACGAUCUAGAUCUAAUGGUCGCCGCAAGAAAUUGUGAUGGUAGCCUGUAGUGCCCGAUGACAAAAGGCAAAUACAGAGAGACAAUGCACCAAAGAUUAUAGAGACCUACAGAGUGGGAUCGACCUACUCUGAUACCAACUUCAGAUUAAAGAGAGAGAAAAUAUAUUUUCGAGUGCUUGAAAGACCCCUCUUAUGAUCUUCUAUUUAUAAUGAAAGAAAAUAGAUACAAUGGAAAGAUGAAAGAUCAAAAGACUGCCCUAGACCCCUAGGUAUAGAACUAGGUACAACUGGAAGAGGUUCCCAACACACUACCCCCUUCUUAGACUUUAAUGAUUACUCUAACAUACAUAGACUUAACAAUCAUUCCAAAAAGUAAUGAUCAAAGCAGAAUUUAUAAUUUUAAACAACAUUUUAUAUCAAUUUUACCCAAAAAGAAAAGUAGAUCAAGUUCCCCAACUGAAUGCAAGUGUUGCCAUCACUCAAAAGAAAGUAUGCUUAUAGAUGUAGUCAAAAGAACAAACCAUAGUACACAGAUAUUCUGAUAGAUCCCAUUGCCAAAGUCCUAAGGGGAGCCACUUACAUACCCUAUUGGAUAUAGACAUCUUAUCAUUAAACUCAUGUACUUUACCUUCUAACCUUAAUUGGGGGGGCUAUUUCUGCUUUGACUGUGGUAAGCAAUUUUUUAAAUGCUUCUUGUCAUGAUUGUUGGGAUGUGUUUGCAUUUUUAUAUUCAUCAAGAGAGCAAUAGCAAAAGAAUUACUUUAUGAAAACAAAGGCAAUGCUAAAAUUGUUGGCUAUUUUGAUCCUGGUUGAGCAAGUUUAUCAUCAAAUAGAACAUAAACUACAGAGUAUUGGUUUUUGACAGAAAGUAACUUAAUCUCAUUGAGAAUUACAAAACACAGAACAUAAUUGCUAGAUCUAUUGCAAAAGUUGAGUAGCUAAGGCAUUUGUAAACCAAUGAACGCGAAAAUGGAAGAAGUUAACAGAAUGAAACAGAUUCGUGUACACCAAGAUCCACUGGACAUUGAGAUUGGCUACCAUUUUCUCAUAAAAGGGUCCUUGCAAGAGAGAUUGCUAGUGGUUCUGUUCUGUUAACUCAAACAUUGUUAGCUUAUUUAUUAAAUCUCUUAAGCUUGCAGCUCAGAUUGACUUAAUUUGUUGAACAGUUGGGCCAUAUGAGAUAUAUGUUACAGCUUAGAGGUAGAAUGCUAAAAUUAAGCUUAUGUGUAAGUGUGAGUUUUGCUGGCAUUACUAUUGGGUAAGUAUUUAUUGUUGGUUAGCUCUAAUCUAAAAAACCAUUCUUUCUGUAAUUAAUAAUUAAUAAUUAAUAUUGCAUACUGUAUAGAUAGUUUCCACUGUGGGUUAAUUAGACAUAAGUUUAGCCUCAAGCGUUUCUCUAAUUCAAUACAAAUAAUGAAUUAAUUUCUAAUCCAUAAAAUCUUGCUUUAUACUACCACUCUCCAGCAUACAUUACUGGUUAACAAGAGUACUAUGGGCACCUAUAUUGUGCCAAGGGAAUCACCAUUUAUGAAUACUUCAGAAAUCAAGACAUUUGACAAUCAAAGCAAUAUAAUUGUUAGUUACAUAAGGACAAAUGAAGAGGUAAAAAUCACAACAAAUAAAAACAUUUAUAAUGGCUUGUAAUAUUUUCCUUAACACACCUGAAUUUGCUGGAUACCAGUCAAAUCCUUGCAGAAGUCACUCAGCAGAUGAUUGCAGGUAGGCCUCACAUAUGUUUGAAAACAAGCUUCCAGCUGGCCAGUGAUGCUACUCACUAUAACAGAUGGAAACUCAAUUAUUUCUUGAGGGUGAGGAUUUUUAUCCUUGUCACAGGUAGCCUCAAAGUCUAUCACCACAAAAUACUGAAAUUCUUGAUAUUGCUCCCGUGGAUAACCUUGAGCAACCAUGUUAAUUGGAACAUACUGAAGCUGGUUCUCAACAGGAUAAGGAUAAAAAUGGCCAUCAAAACCAUUCAUUUGGCAUUGCUGCACCUUGUGAGCACUAAAAUGGCAGGGUGUCCAGGUGCUGUAGUUUUGAUGAUAAGUAGGUUUGCUGUGAAAUUCAUUGGAAGGCUCAAGAAACUCACUGCCCAAACGGCAGUUAGGCUCAGUAACAUCCCCAGCUGGGUGAGUACCAG
rnacentral:lncRNA from 1 species